rnacentral:tRNA from 6 species
GCGGUGGUAACUCAGCUGGGAGAGUGCCAGACUGAAGAUCUGGAAGUCGCCGGUUCAAGCCCGGCCCACCGCACCA